CGAAAGCCUGACGGCGCAAGCACGCGAGCGGGAUGGCCUACCUAGAAGUUUGUAACUCCGCUAUUCUCUGGGAAGAUGAUGACGGUACCAGAGGAAUCAGCCUCGGCUAACUCCGUGCCAGCAGCCGCGGUAAUACGGAGGAGGCAAGCGUUAUCCGGAAUCAUUGGGCGUAAAGCGUCCGCAGGUGGCUAUUCAAGUCUGCUGUCAAAGCCUGAGGCUUAACUCCAUAGAGGCAGUGGAAACUGUCUGACUUGAGUGCGGUAGGGGUCGAGGGAAUUCCCAGUGUAGCGGUGAAAUGCGUAGAUAUUGGGAAGAACACCAGUGGCGAAAGCGCUCUACUGGGCCUUCAUCUGACCUCAGGGACGAAAGCUAGGGGAGCG
rnacentral:rRNA from 1 species